rnacentral:rRNA from 1 species
CCUACGGGAGGCUGCAGUGAGGAAUAUUGGUCAAUGGCCGUAAGGCUGAACCAGCCAAGUCGCGUGAAGGAAGAAGGAUCUAUGGUUUGUAAACUUCUUUUAUAGGGGAAUAAAGGUAUCCACGUGUGGAUAUUUGCAUGUACCCUAUGAAUAAGCAUCGGCUAACUCCGUGCCAGCAGCCGCGGUAAUACGUAGGAUGCGAGCGUUAUCCGGAUUUAUUGGGUUUAAAGGGUGCGUAGGUUGUUUUUUAAGUCAGCGGUGAAAGUUUGUGGCUCAACCAUAAAAUUGCCGUUGAAACUGGCAGACUUGAGUGUGUUUGCGGUAGGCGGACUGCGUUGUGUAGCGGUGAAAUGCAUAGAUAUCACGCAGAACUCCGAUUGCGAAGGCAGCUUACUAAGCCAUAACUGACACUGACGCACGAAAGCGUGGGGAUCAAACAGGAUUAGAUACCCGUGUAGUC